CUGGCGGUGAUGAUUGGCGCAGGGGUACGGACCUCAGCUGAUGAUGGGAGCUGAGUGGAAGUGUUGCUCUCUGUCAGCAGGCGAGUGGCCGG
rnacentral:snoRNA from 1 species